rnacentral:rRNA from 1 species
CCCUUAGAUGUUCUGGGCUGCACCCGUGCUACACUGGCAGGUUCAGCGAGCUUCAUGCCCUGAUCUGAAAGGAAUGGGAAAUCUUUUCAAAACCUGCCGUGCUUGGGAUAGAUGUUUGCAAUUAUUCAUCUUCAACGAGAAUUGCCUUGUAAGCGCACGUCAUCAGCGUGCAUUGAAUACGACCCUGUAUUCUGUACACACCGCCCGUCGCUCCUACCGAUUGAAGUUUUCGGUGAGUUGACAGGAGGAUUUUUUUGAAACUGGUUCGCCAGUGGAUUUUAGAUCCAAAUGCCAACGAAUCGAUGGCUUUAGAGGAAGGAGAAGUCGUAACA